rnacentral:lncRNA from 1 species
AAAAAAUGUGUAAAAAUAUAAAAAAAAAAAGAGUUAGCAGUAGAGUUGAUUGUGAUGUUAGUGGUAGUGUGGCUAACGUGGUUAGCGGCAGCAAUGUCAUACGUGAGAAUCAAAUACCUACAUCAAAUGAAAGAUUAUUGAAAAAAGCAAACAUUUGUAAUAAUGUAACUUAUAACUGUAAUUAUGAAAAAUAUAAUAUGUUUGAUAGCAGUUUAAUUGAAGAAUGUUUUUUAUCGUCAUUAAAAAUAUGUUCUAUGGAAAAUAGAUCAUGGAUAACAUGGGCAGAUUAUUGUUAUAAUAUUUUUAAACAGAAUAAUAACAAGAGACUUGGUAUAAGUGCUUUAAUUUCUUAUUUAAUGCAUUGUAGUUUGAAUAGUAGUGAAAGCUACUAUUAUAUAAGUAAUGUAUUACAUAUAUUAAAUUGUGAUUUUGAUGACAGUAACAUAUUUCAAAUUUUUAAUGAAUACAAUGAUAAUAUUUGUUCAAGUGUUUGGUUAUUUUAUUUACCAUUUUUGUUAAAUAAUGCUAAUAUAAAUAAAAAGAAUUAUAUUUAUUUUCAUAAAAUAUUUUAUAUGCUAAUGAGCACAUACCCUCAAGAUAUUUUUUACGAUUUAAGAACGUUACAUAUAAAUAAAAUAGAUAAAUCGUAUUAUUUUAUGAAGAUAAACAAUGUUAAAGAGAAUGGAAAGUUUGAAAAGGUGGAUUAUUUGAUAAAAGAUGGUGCGAAUGGUAUGAGAAGUGAACGAAGAGGUAGGAAGGGCAGACCCAGGGGAACAAGUAAUGUAGUAAAUAGAAAAGAAAAUAAAGGAACAAGUAAGGGAAAACGUAGCGAUUAUGUGAAUAAAAAGAAAAAUGUGGUACAAACCAAUUCAACAAAUAUGGUAGGAGACACUGUGUCAAGUAUUAAUGUACAAAGCAGUAAUUGUUUAGAUAACUGUAAGUUGGAAAAUGACAUGGUAAUAGGAACUGGUAUGAUAGUUACUAGUAGUGUUAGGUCUGGCGAUAGUGUCCAUGAUAGCAAUGGUCCUGCUAAUAACUCUAACCAUAACCACAACGUUAACCACAAUUGCAACAAUGGCGCUAAUAGUAGAGCUAACCAUAAGACCGACGGA